AUGGAUCAGAACCCGCACGUACUGUGUUGGAACGUGAGGGGUUUAAACAACCCUGCCAAGAAGCAUUUCGUUAGGGAGUUUGUAGUGGCGGCCAAGGUUAAUCUAGUGUGUCUGCAAGAGACGAAGCUUGAUGUAGUUGAUCAAUUCAUAGUUAUGCAAUGCAUAGGACCAUCGUUUGAUGGGUUUGGUUAUUUUCUGGCGGUGGAGACUCGUGGGGGCAUUCUUUUGGCUUGGGAUAGAACGGUUUGGACAUUGAUAACAUUUCACGGGACGCUAACUCUAUCACCGGGCUAG
rnacentral:rRNA from 1 species